GGCUGGUCCAAUGGUAGUGGCUCAUCAGAACUUAUUCAUAGCAGUGUUACUAAAGUUGGUAUACAACCCCCCACUGCUAAAUUUGACUGGCUGAAA
ensembl:misc_RNA Y_RNA Y RNA